UACGUAGGUGACAAGCGUUGUCCGGAUUUACUGGGCGUAAAGAGCGCGCAGGCGGUCGAUCAAGUCGAGUGUGAAAGCCCCCGGCUCAACUGGGGAGGGUCAUUCGAUACUGAUCGACUCGAAGGCAGGAGAGGGUAGUGGAAUUCCCGGUGUAGUGGUGGAAAUGCGUAGAUAUCGGGAGGAACACCAGUGGCGAAAGGCGACUACCUGGCCUGUUCUUGACGCUGAGGCGCGAAAGCUAGGGGAGCAACGGG
rnacentral:rRNA from 1 species